rnacentral:lncRNA from 1 species
UAUUUUAGGAUUUUAAUUUUAGAGUUUUUUUCAAACUCUAAAUAGCAUAAUAGACUGGAUUAAAACCCACUUAUCCAGAUUUACUCCCAUCACCACACUAGAAAGCCAAAUGUGAGAGAGAGAGGAUAAGAUAUCAGAUUUGCGCGCGUUUGACCAGAAGCCCAAUAAGCGGUGGAAGAAAUUAGAUAUGUGCGUGUCUAACAAGAAGACCAACCAGCAGCCGAAGAGAUCAGAUCUGUGUGCAUCUGAACAGAAGACCGACCAGUGGCUGAAGAAACAGAUCUGCGUGUCUGACAAGAAGAACCGACCCAUGUGACCAGAUC